UCUAACUGAUACUCCGAGGAGUGGAAUGAAGGGGUAACGCCCUGAAACGCUCCCCCUGAUACUGCGUUGGAGGAAAUGGGGCGCAAUCCCUGUGACUGACACAGCACGCUGAAGUCGGCUGGACACACCCGCCUUACACGAGGUAAAAGACGGUAGGGCAAAGACGAGCCAGAGGUGGCCGCGGGUGAUAGGCCGGGGGUUCAUAAC
rfam:Lachnoclostridium sp. YL32, complete genome.